rnacentral:rRNA from 1 species
UACGAAGGGGGCUAGCGUUGUUCGGAAUUACUGGGCGUAAAGCGCGCGCAGGCGGUCUUCCAAGUCAGUGGUGAAAGCCCGGAGCUCAACUCCGGAACUGCCAUUGAAACUGUAAGGCUUGAGGAUGAGAGAGGUGAGUGGAAUUCCCAGUGUAGAGGUGAAAUUCGUAGAUAUUGGGAAGAACACCAGUGGCGAAGGCGGCUCACUGGACUGGUAUUGACGCUGAGGUGCGAAAGCGUGGGGAGCAAACAGG